UGGAAGGCUCUAGGCGAAUAAAGAUGGAAUGACUUCUAAUUUUUAGGUCCGUAUGAUUUGAAAUACUUGCACACAAACCACGCAAAACCGUUCCUAGAAAUCUCGGUCGAAAAAAGGACGUUUAGUAAUUCUAAAAGGGACUACAGGAUGAAAAACAAUAGUUUUGGCAGUUAAAGUUUGAGAUUCGAUGGUGCCGUAGAUCCGUUUGGUCAUCAGGUGUUACGAGCCACACCCAUGUCUAGCUAGAGUAGUGUGCUAGGUUCAGACUAGAGAAGAAACGGGGAACAAAGUGAUUAAAGAAUGAUCAUACCGAGGGAAUUCACUCAGAACUAACAAGAAUGAUAACGUGCUCCGACUGGAGCGGUUUAGGAACUGCUGGAAGGCUCUAGGGGAAUAAAGAUGGAAUGACUUCUAAUUUUUACGUCCGUAUGAUUUGAAAUACAUGCACACAAACCACGCAAAAGCGUUCCUGGAAAUCUCAGCCUAAAAAAGGACGUUUAGUAAUUCUAAAAGGGACUACAGGAUGAAAAAUAAUAGUUUGGGCAGUUAAAAUUUGAGAUUCGACGCUGCCGUAGAUCCGUUUGGUCAUCAGGUCUUACGAGCCACACCCAUGUCUAGCUAGAAUAGUGUGUUAGGCUCAGGCUAGAGAAGAAACGGGGAACAAACUGAUGAAAGAAUGAUCAUACCGAGGGAAUUCACUCAGAACUAACAAGAAUGAUAACGUGCUCCGACUGGAGCAGUUUAGAAACUCCUGGAAGGCUCUAGGGGAAUAAAGAUGGAAUGACUUCAAAGUUUUAGGUCCGUAUGAUUUGAAAUACUUGCACACAAACCGCGUGAAAGCGUUCCUGGAAAUCUCAACCCAAAAAAGGGCGUUUAGUAAUUCUAAAAGGGACUACAGGAUGUAAAACAAUAGUUUUGGCAGUUAAAGUUUGAGAUUCGAUGGUGCCGUAGAUCCGUUUGGUCAUCAGGUGUAACGAGCCACACCCAUGUCUAGCUAGAGUAGUGUGCUAGGCUCAGACUAGAGAAGAAACGGGGAACAAAGUGAUGAAAGAAUGAUCAUACCGAGGGAAUUCACUCAUAACUAACAAGAAUGAUAACGUGCUCUGACUUGAGCGGUUUAGGAACUGCUGGAAGGCUAUAGGGGAAUAAAGAUGGAAUGACUUCAAAUUUUUAGGUCCGUAUGAUCUGAAAUACUUGCACACAAACCGCGAGAAAGCGUUCCUGGAAAUCUCAACCCAAAAAAGGACGUUUAGUAAUUCUAAAAGGGACUACAGGAUGAAAAACAAUAGUUCUGGCAGUUAUUGUUUGAGAUUCGAUAAUCUCGUAGAUCCGUUUGGUCAUCAGGUGUAACGAGCCACACCCAUGUCUAGCUAGAGUAGUGUGCUAGGCUCAGACUAGAGAAGAAACGGGGAACAAACUGAUGAAAGAAUGAUCAUACCGAGGGAAUUCACUUAGAACUAACAAGAAUGAUAACGUGCUCCGACUGGAGCGGUUUAGGAACUGCUGGAAGGCUCUAGGGGAAUAAAGAAGGAACGACUUCUAAUUUUUAGGUCCGUAUGAUUUGAAAUAUGUGCACACAAACCACGAGAAAGCGUUCCUAGAAAUCUCGGCCCAAAAGAGGACGUUUAGUAUUCUAAAAGGGACUACAGAAUGAAAAACAAUAGUUUUGGCAGUUAAAGUUUGAGAUUUGACGGUGCCGUAGAUCUGUUUGGUCAUCAGGGGUUACGAGCCACACCCAUGUCUAGCUAGAAUAGUGUGUUAGGCUCAGGCUAGAAAAGAAACGGGGAACAAAGUGAUGAAAGAAUGAUCAUACCGAGGGAAUUCACUCAGAACUAACAAGAAUGAUAACAUGCUCCGACUGGAGCGGUUUAGGAACUGCUGGAAGGCUCUAGGGGAAUAAAGAUGGAAUGACUUCUAAUUUUUAGGUCCGUAUGAUUUGAAAUACUUGCACACAAACCGCGCGAAAGCGUUCCUGGAAAUCUCAGCCCAAAAAAGGACGUUUAGUAAUUCUAAAAGGGACUACAGGAUGAAAAACAAUAGUUUUGGCAGUUAAAGUAUGAGAUUCAACGGUGCCGUAGAUCCGUUUGGUCAUUAGGUGUUACGAGCCACACCCAUGUCUAGCUAGAAUAGUGUGCUAGGCUCAGGCUAGAGAAGAAACGGGGAACAAACUGAUGAAAGAAUGAUCAAACCGAGGGAAUUCACUCAGAACUAACAAUAAUGAUAACGUGCUCCGACUGGAGCGGUUUAGGAACUGCUGGAAGUCUCUAGGGGAAUAAAGAUGGAAUGACUUCUAAUUUUUACGUUCGUAUGAUUUGAAAAACUUGCCCAUAAACCGCGCGAAAGUGUUCCUGGAAAUCUCAGCCCAAAAAAGGACGUUUAGUAAUUUUAAAAGGGACUACACGAUGAAAAACAAUAGUUUUGGCAGGUAAAGUUUGAGAUUCGACAGUGCCGUAGAUCCGUUUGGUCAUCAGGUGUUACGAGCCACACCCAUGUCUAGCUAGAAUAGUAUGUUACGCUCAGGUUAGAGAAGAAACGGGGAACAAACUGAUGAAAGAUGAUCAUACCAAGGGAAUUCACUCAGAACUAACAAGAAUGAUAACGUGCUCCGACUGGAGCGGUUUAGGAACUGCUGGAAGGCUCUAGGGGAAUAAAGAUGGAAUGACUUCUAAUUUUUACGUCUGUAUGAUUUGAAAUACUUGCACACAAACAACGCAAAAGCAUUCCUGGAAAUCUCAUCCUAAAAAAGGACGUUUAGUAAUUCUAAAAGGGACUACAGGAUGAAAAAUAAUAGUUUGGGAAGUUAAAAUUUGAGAUUCGAUAGUGCCGUAGAUCCGUUUGGUCAUCAGGUGUUAGGAGCCACACCCAUGUCUAGCUAGAAUAGUGUGUUAGGCUCAGGCUAGAGAAGAAACAGGGAACAAACUGAUGAAAGAAUGAUCAUACCGAGGGAAUUCACUCAGAACUAGCAAGAAUGAUAACGUGCUCCGACUGGAGCAGUUUUGAAACUGCUGGAAGGCUCUAGGGGAAUAAUGAUGGAAUGACUUCUAAGUUUUUGGUCCGUAUGAUUUGAAAUACGUGCACACAAACCCAGAGAAAGUGUUCUUGGAAAUCUCGGCCGAAAAAAGGAUGUUUAAUAAUUCUAAAAGGGACUACAGGAUGAAAAACAAUAGUUUUGGCAGUUAAAGUUUGUGAUUCGAUGGUGCUGUAGAUCUGUUUGGUCAUCAGGUGUUAUGAGCCACACCCAUGUCUAGCUAGAACAGUGUGUUAGGCUCAGGCUAGAGCAGAAACGGGGAACAAACUUAUGAAAGAAUGAUCAUACCGAGGGAAUUCACUCAGAACUAACAAGAAUGAUAACGUGCUCCGACUGGAGAGGUUUAGGAACUGCUGGAAGGCUCUAGGGGAAUAAAGAUGGAAUGACUUCAAAUUUUUAGGUCUGUAUGAUCUGAAAUACUUGCACACAAACCGCGAGAAAGCGUUCCUGGAAAUCUCAGCCCAAAAAAGGACGUUUAGUGAUUCUAAAAGGGACUACGGGAUAAAAAACAAUAGUUUUGGCAGUUAAAGUUUGAGAUUCGAUAAUGCCGUAGAUCCGUUUGGUCAUCAGGUGUAACGAGCCACACCCAUGUCUAGCUAGAGUAGUGUGCUAGGCUCAUACUAGAGAAGAAAUGGGGAACAAACUGAUGAAAGAAUGAUCAUACCGAGGGAGUUCACUCAAAACUAACAUGAAUGAUAACGUGCUCCGACUGGAGCGGUUUAGGAACUGCUGGAAGGCUCUAGGGGAAUAAAGAUGGAAUGACUUCUAAUUUUUAGGUCCGUAUGAUUUGAAAUACAUGCACACAAACCCCAAGAAAGCGUUCCUGGAAAUCUCGCCCCGAAAAACGACGUUUAGUAAUUCUAAAAGGGACUAUAGGAUGAAAAACAAUAGUUUUGGCAGUUAAAGUUUGAGAUUUGACGGUGCCGUAGAUCUGUUUGGUCAUCAGGUGUUACGAGCCACACCCAUUUCUAGCUAGAAUAGUGUGUUAGGCUCAGGCUAGAAAAGAAACGGGGAACAAAGUGAUGAAAGAAUGAUCAUACCGAGGGAAUUCACUCAGAACUAACAAGAAUGAUAACAUGGUCCGACUGGAGCGGUUUAGGAACUGCUGGAAGGCUCUAGGGGAAUAAAGAUGGAAUGACUUCUAACUUUUAGGUCCGUAUGAUUUGAAUUACUUGCACACAAACCGCGCGAAAGCGUUCCUGGAAAUCUCAGCCCAAAAAAGGACGUUUAGUAAUUCUAAAAGGGACUACAGGAUGAAAAACAAUAGUUUUGGCAGUUAAAGUUUGAGAUUCGACGGUGCCGUAGAUCCGUUUGGUCAGCAGGUGUUACGAGCCACACCCAUGUCUAGCUAGAGUAGUGUG
rnacentral:lncRNA from 1 species